rnacentral:rRNA from 1 species
AAUAGCUCAAAUUUGAAAUCUGGCGUCUUCGGCGUCUGAGUUGUAAUUUGUAGAGGAUGCUUCUGGGCAGCCACCGACCUAAGUUCCUUGGAACAGGACGUCAUAGAGGGUGAGAAUCCCGUAUGCGGUCGGAAAGGCACCCUACACGUAGCUCCUUCGACGAGUCGAGUUGUUUGGGAAUGCAGCUCUAAAUGGGAGGUAAAUUUCUUCUAAAGCUAAAUAUUGGCCAGAGACCGAUAGCGCACAAGUAGAGUGAUCGAAAGAUGAAAAGCACUUUGGAAAGAGAGUUAAAAAGCACGUGAAAUUGUUGAAAGGGAAGGGAUUGCAACCAGACUUGCUCGCGGUGUUCCGCCGGUCUUCUGACCGGUUCACUCGCCGCGUUGCAGGCCAGCAUCGUCUGGUGCCGCUGGAUAAGACUGGAGGA